UAGGGAAUCUUCGGCAAUGGGGGGAACCCUGACCGAGCAACGCCGCGCGAGUGAAGAAGGUUUUCGGAUCGUAAAGCUCUGUUGUUAAGGAAGAACGAGUGUGAGAAUGGAAAGUUCAUACUGUGACGGUACUUAACCAGAAAGGGACGGCUAACUACGUGCCAGCAGCCGCGGUAAUACGUAGGUCCCGAGCGUUGUCCGGAUUUAUUGGGCGUAAAGCGAGCGCAGGCGGUUAGAUAAGUCUGAAGUUAAAGGCAGUGGCUCAACCAUUGUAGGCUUUGGAAACUGUUUAACUUGAGUGCAGGAGGGGAGAGUGGAAUUCCAUGUGUAGCGGUGAAAUGCGUAGAUAGAUGGAGGAACACCAGUGGCGAAGGCGACUCUCUGGUCUGUAACUGACGCUGAGGCUCGAAAGCGUGGGUAGCAAACAGG
rnacentral:rRNA from 1 species